UACGUAGGUGGCAAGCGUUAUCCGGAUUUAUUGGGCGUAAAGGGAACGCAGGCGGUCUUUUAAGUCUGAUGUGAAAGCCUUCGACUUAACCGGAGUAGUGCAUUGGAAACUGGGAGACUUGAGUGCAGAAGAGGAGAGUGGAACUCCAUGUGUAGCGGUGAAAUGCGUAGAUAUAUGGAAGAACCCCAGUGGCGAAAGCGGCUCUCUGGUCUGUAACUGACGCUGAGGUUCGAAAGCGUGGGUAGCAAACAGG
rnacentral:rRNA from 1 species